GGGGAUGUAGCUCAGUGGUAGAGCGCAUGCUUUGCAUGUGUGCGGUCCUGGGUUCGAUCCCCAGCAUCUCCA